rnacentral:rRNA from 1 species
UACGUAGGGUGCGAGCGUUGUCCGGAAUUAUUGGGCGUAAAGAGCUCGUAGGCGGCCUGUCGCGUCGGAUGUGAAAACUCGGGGCUCAACCUCGAGACGUCGGUUGAAACCGCAUGGCUAGAGUCCGGAAGAGGAGAGUGGAAUUCCCGGUGUAGCGGUGAAAUGCGCAGAUAUCGGGAAGAACACCCAUGGCGAAGGCAGCUCUCUGGGACGGUACUGACGCUGAGACGCGAAAGCGUGGGGAGCAAACAGG